rnacentral:rRNA from 1 species
GAUGAACGCUGGCGGCGUGCCUAAUACAUGCAAGUCGAGCGAACGGACGAGAAGCUUGCUUCUCUGAUGUUAGCGGCGGACGGGUGAGUAACACGUGUAUAACCUACCUAUAAGACUGGGAUAACUUCGGGAAACCGGAGCUAAUACCGUAUAAUAUUUUGAACCGCAUUGUUCAAAAGUGAAAGACGGUCUUGCUGUCACUUAUAGAUGGAUCCGCGCUGCAUUAGCUAGUUGUUAAGGUAACGGCUUACCAAGGCAACGAGGCAUAGACGACCGGAGAGGGUGAUCGGCGACAUGAGAACGGGGACAGCGUCCAGAGUCCUACGGGAGGCAGCAGAAGGGAAUGUUCCGCAGUGGGCGAAAGCCUGGCGGAGCAACGCCGCGUGAGUGAUGAAAGCCUUCGGAUCGUAAAACUCUGUUAUUAGGGAAGAACAUAUGUGUAAGUAAAUGUGCACAUAGUGACGGUACCUGAUAAGAAAGCCACGGCUAACUACGUG